rnacentral:rRNA from 1 species
GGUACGAUUUGCCCGGUCCACGUUCCGCAAGGACGCGAGUAUUGGAGCGAUUCUGCCAUCCUUCUGGUUAACUGGCUGCACUUAACUGUGCGGUCAGCGAUCCAGAUCAUUUACUUUGAAAAAAUUAGAGUGUUUAAAGCAGGCUUUUGCUAUGAAUACAUUAGCAUGGAAUAAUAAUUUAGGACUUUGCUCCUAUUUUAUUGGUUUCUAGGGGUAAAGUA